rnacentral:rRNA from 1 species
AUGCCCUAUCAACUACCUGUGGUGGAUCACUCCCUCAAAAUAGGUGCACUCAAUGUCACAUAUGGUGGAGUCACUCAAAUCACUCAAGUGGUGGUGGUGGUGGCUCUCCUCACAUGGGAAUUGGGGCAGCUCAUCAUAUAUGGGGCAAGUGGUGAAGUCACUCUCACUCUCAAUAUGGUUGCACAAGUCACUCAACUCAUCACCAUACGCCUCCUCGAUCGAAGAGAAAAUCCCAUGCUCAACCAUCUCGUAGUCGUUGCCGUGGAUGAAGGCCGAAGAUGGCAUAUCAUCACUCUUGCCUCCAAAGAUGGAAGCAUCAUCCUUGCUCUCCACCAUGUUGCUUGCCUCCAAAUCUUGGUCCUGGAGUUGCUCCGUAGUCGUACUCGUCGCCGCACCGUCUUGAAAAAGAGUCGUAGUAGACUCGGCAUCAUCAAUGCCACAAAGAGGGAUGGCGGUGAAGUCAACCUUGGGAACGUCAUCUUGUAG